rnacentral:rRNA from 1 species
GGGUCAGUAGGUUGGUCGUGCCACCGGUACGUACUGGUCUCACUGAUUCCUCCUUCCUGAAGAACCGUAAUGCCAUUAAUUUGGUGUUGCGGGGAAACAGGACUGUUACUUUGAAAGAAUUAGAGUGUUUAAAGCAAGCUAACGCUUGAAUACAUUAGCAUGUAAUAACGAAAUAGGACGAUCGAUCCUAUUUUGUUGGUUUCUAGGAUUGACGUA